rnacentral:lncRNA from 1 species
UACAGACUCUGAGUUUUUUUUUUUUACAGAUUUGUUGGAAUUUGAGGAGGGGGAGAUUGGGACAGGAUGCAAGAACCUUGGGUAAUGCAGAUUCCUUCAGCUGAGGAGUGAGCCACCAGCAUCGAGCACUACCAGUCACUGGGGCAAUGAAAGCUUCAGUCCUAAAAACACAUCAAAGUAACACAUUGAGAGUCCACUAAAUGAGAUGAAACAUGAAUCCUAAGAACAUUAAUAUGGUUGCAUGAAUAUUAAGUAAAGUCAACUUUAAGAUAAGGAGUAAGAUAGGACAAAUAUAAAGAAGGACAUUUCAAAAUGAUAGAAGUCAACUCAUCAAGAAAUCAGUGAUCUCAAGUGCUUAUUUACCCAAUAACAGCUUCAACACAUGAAAGAAAAAACUGAUAGAACCAAAAGUAGAAGAUUUAAAAGCUCCAAAUAUAGUCAGAGAUUUUAACAUAAUCUCUUCCUGUACUUGAAAGAAGAAGUAGAAGAGAACUUCAGCAAGGGGCUGGGGUUACAGCUCACUGGAUAAGUGUGGGAGACCAACCUUGCACAUGAAUGAAUCAGACUCCCCGGCUGGGUGCUGAGGUGCUCAGUCACAGAAAUGUGGCAGAGCUUUUCCCAUCCUUCUUGGGUUCAAGGGUCUGUGUCUUGUGCAUGGGUGUGUCUUGCUACAGCCCCAUGGGUGAAGCUAUGCUCACCUGUUUCUUUGUAAUAUAACCCCUUGCCCUGUUUAGGAUAGAAUCUUCCAUGGAAGUGUCUUGUGUGUCCCCUUCUCUUACUGUGCCCUUGGGUGUGGCCUACCUACCCAGAUGUCAGUCAACCUGCUGACAGUGGACAUCGUGAAGCUAGACUCAGCCCCCUGAAACCUGACCCCUUGCCUCAUUUGAAAAGCUUCUCAAUAAAAGGGGUCAGCACAGUGCUCUCUCUCUCUCUCUUCCUGCGGACCCUUAAGGUCAGAGGAGCCAUCACAGCGACCCCAAAGAAAAG